GAUGAACGCUGGCGGCGUGCCUAAUACAUGCAAGUCGAGCGAACAGACGAGGAGCUUGCUCCUCUGACGUUAGCGGCGGACGGGUGAGUAACACGUGGAUAACCUACCUAUAAGACUGGGAUAACUUCGGGAAACCGGAGCUAAUACCGGAUAAUAUAUUGAACCGCAUGGUUCACUAGUGAAAGACGGUUUUGCUGUCACUUAUAGAUGGAUCCGCGCCGCAUUAGCUAGUUGGUAAGGUAACGGCUUACCAAGGCAACGAUGCGUAGCCGACCUGAGAGGGUGAUCGGCCACACUGGAACUGAGACACGGUCCAGACUCCUACGGGAGGCAGCAGUAGGGAAUCUUCCGCAAAGGGCGAAAGCCUGACGGAGCAACGCCGCGUGAGUGAUGAAGGUCUUCGGAUCGUAAAACUCUGUUAUUAGGGAAGAACAAAUGUGUAAGUAACUAUGCACGUCUUGACGGUACCUAAUCAGAAAGCCACGGCUAACUACGUG
rnacentral:rRNA from 1 species